rnacentral:rRNA from 1 species
GACGAACGCUGGCGGCGUGCUUAACACAUGCAAGUCGAACGGAAAGGCCCUGCUUGCAGGGUACUCGAGUGGCGAACGGGUGAGUAACACGUGGGUGAUCUGCCCUGCACUUCGGGAUAAGCCUGGGAAACUGGGUCUAAUACCGGAUAGGAGCCAUUUUUAGUGUGAUGGUUGGAAAGUUUUUUCGGUGUAGGUUGAGCUCGCGGCCUAUCAGCUUGUUGGUGGGGUAAUGGCCUACCAAGGCGGCGACGGGUAGCCGGCCUGAGAGGGUGGACGGCCACAUUGGGACUGAGAUACGGCCCAGACUCCUACGGGAGGCUGCAGUGGGGAAUAUUGCACAAUGGGCGCAAGCCUGAUGCAGCGACGCCGCGUGGGGGAUGACGGCCUUCGGGUUGUAAACUCCUUUCGCUAGGGACGAAGCUUUUUGUGACGGUACCUAGAUAAGAAGCACCGGCUAACUACGUG